CUUAAGUAUAUUCGCAGUAACGACAACAAAUAUAAUAUUACAACUUACAUCUUACAUUAUUUUCAGAUAUGGACAAGGGAAAGAAGAGAAGAGCCAUCACUGACUUUUUUGAAGGCAUACAGCCUAAGAGGAGCCUCAUCGGUAAAACGCUUAACCAGGACACUCAAACAGCACAGCACUUACAUUUAUCACCAGGCUACAAGAAAAACUAACAGACCUGCCCCAAUCCAGGACAAACCCCGAUACAGACAGACCAGCC